CUCCAGACUCCUACGGGAGGCAGCAGUGGGGAAUAUUGCACAAUGGGGGAAACCCUGAUGCAGCAACGCCGCGUGAGUGAGGAAGUAUUUCGGUAUGUAAAGCUCUAUCAGCAGGGAAUAGAAAAGAAGGUACCUGAAAAAGAAGCCCCGGCUAACUACGUGCCAGCAGCCGCGGUAAUACGUAGGGAGUGAGCGUUGUCCGGAAUUACUGGGCGUAAAGGGCGCGUAGGCGGGAACUUAAGUUAGAUGUGAAAACUCCGGGCUCAACCUGGAGACUGCAUUUAAAACUGGGUUUCUUGAGGGCAGGAGAGGAAAGUGGAAUUCCUAGUGUAGUGGUGAAAUGCGUAGAUAUUAGGAGGAACACCAGUGGCGAAGGCGACUUUCUGGACUGUACCUGACGCUGAGGCGCGAAAGCAUGGGGAGCGAACAGGAUUAGAUACCCCGGUAAGU
rnacentral:rRNA from 1 species